CAGCCGCCACGGGAAUACGUAGGGUGCGAGCGUUAAUCGGAAUUACUGGGCGUAAAGCGUGCGCAGGCGGUUAUAUAAGACAGAUGUGAAAUCCCCGGGCUCAACCUGGGACCUGCAUUUGUGACUGUAUAGCUAGAGUACGGUAGAGGUGGAUGGAAUUCCGCGUGUAGCAGUGAAAUGCGUAGAUAUGCGGAGGAACACCGAUGGCGAAGGCAAUCCCCUGGACCUGUACUGACGCUCAUGCACGAAAGCGUGGGGAGCAAACAGGAUUAGAGACCCGCGUAGUCCCUGUCUCUUAUAC
rnacentral:rRNA from 1 species